rnacentral:rRNA from 1 species
UACGUAGGUGGCAAGCGUUGUCCGGAUUUAUUGGGUUUAAAGGGUGCGUAGGCGGUCUUUUAAGUCAGUGCUGAAAUACUCCAGCUUAACUGGAGGGGUGGCAUUGAUACUGGAAGACUUGAGUGCAGUCGAGGUAGGCGGAAUUGACGGUGUAGCGGUGAAAUGCUUAGAUAUCGUAAGGAAGACCAGUGGCGAAGGCGAGUCUCUGGACAGUUACCGACGCUGAGGCACGAAGGUCAGGGGAGCAAACGGG